rnacentral:rRNA from 1 species
UAAGCGGAGGAAAAGAAACUAACAAGGAUUCCCCUAGUAACGGCGAGUGAAGCGGGAAGAGCUCAAAUUUGAAAUCUGGUGGCCUCAGGUCAUCCGAGUUGUAAUCUAUAGAAGUGUUUUCCGUGCUGGCUCAUGUACAAGUCCCUUGGAACAGGGCGUCAUAGAGGGUGAGAAUCCCGUCCUUGACAUGAACUACCAGUGCUCUGUGAUACAUUUUCAACGAGUCGAGUUGUUUGGGAAUGCAGCUCAAAAUGGGUGGUAAAUUCCAUCUAAAGCUAAAUAUUGGCGAGAGACCGAUAGCGAACAAGUACCGUGAGGGAAAGAUGAAAAGCACUUUGGAAAGAGAGUUAAACAGUAUGUGAAAUUGUUGAAAGGGAAACGAUUGAAGUCAGUCGUGCUCUUUGGAUUCAGCCGGUUCUGCCGGUGUACUUCCUUUGAGUGGGGUCAACAUCAGUUUUGAUCGCUGGAUAAAGGCUGGAGGAACGUAGUACCCUCGGGUAAACUUAUAGCCUCCUGUCACAUACAGUGGUUGGGACUGAGGAACGCAGCACGCCUUUAUGGCCGGGAUUCGUCCACGUACGUGCUUAGGAUGUUGACAUAAUGGCUUUAAACGACCCGUCUUGAAACACGG